rnacentral:rRNA from 1 species
UGCCAGCCGCCGCGGUAAGACAGAGGGUGCGAACGUUGUUCGGAAUUAUUGGGUUUAAAGGGUCCGCAGGCUGUUUGUUAAGUCAGGGGUGAAAUCCUACCGCUCAACGGUAGAACUGCCUUUGAUACUGGCAAACUUGAGUUAUUGUGAAGUAGUUAGAAUGUGUAGUGUAGCGGUGAAAUGCAUAGAUAUUACACAGAAUACCAAUUGCGAAGGCAGAUUACUAACAAUUAACUGACGCUGAGGGACGAAAGCGUGGGUGGCGAACAGGAUUAGAUA